CAUGUGAUGAGUUAUAGCUCGUAGUUGGAUAUCUGGAUUGAACUUGCCCGUGUUCUGCACGACAAGAUCAAUUCAUCCUUCUGUUAAGGCGUCUUGUACUUGUACCGGGCGUCAGCUCAGAUAUUUUACCUUGAGAAAAUUAGAGUGUUUCAGGCAGGCAAGGCCGGAAUACAACAGCAUGGAAUAAUGGAAUUGACAUGACUCUGUGGUUGGCCAGAGAAGUGUAAUGAUUAAUAGGAACAGUUGGGGGCAUUAGUAUUUAAUUGUCAGAGGUGAAAUUCUUGGAUUUGUUAAAGACUAACUAAAGCGAAAGCAUUU
rnacentral:rRNA from 1 species